rnacentral:lncRNA from 1 species
CAACAUGGUCAGUGAGGAGGAGAGCACCCCACUGAGGGUGUGGACAUGUGUAAAGACAGCAAAGGGCUGGUGUUACCACCCCAGCUCUCUGGAGGUUGGAGCAGAAGGAAUGCUGAAGAGAAAAGAAGACAGAAGGAGGAGCGCAGAAGCUAAGAGCCGGAAUGAACCCAGGAAUUUAGUGGAAGAGCAAGAAUGGCUAAGGCAAGGUAGCUUGGUUGUUAAAGGCAAUUGCUGCCAGACCUGACGAUUGAACUCAGUCACCAGAACACUCGUGGAGUGCUCUGACCUCUGCACGGGGGCUGCCGUGUGUGUGCCCGCCCUCCACACUGCCCCGUCCAACCUUCUCAUAAAAGUAGUACAUGUCAAAAAAUAAAAAUAAAAUUAAAAAGCAAGUGGUAAGGACAAGGAGUUAGCUCAGUAGUAGGCUACUGGCCCAGCAUGAACAGAACCCUGAAUUUAAUCCAUAUUAUUGAAAAAAAAAUUAAAAAAAUAAA